CACCCGGAGAGGUGGAAAUGGGGGUCCCGACAUGAUAGCUUUGGAAGCCCAUCUCAGGAUCCAGUUGAUGAAGUGAGGACCUUUCAUCAGAAGCAGACCAGGGGACAGGAGCAGGGCAGUGAGAUACUCAAGUGGUGAUGGCAAGUCCAGGAUGUAUUUGAUCUUGGAGCAGAGAUCUGGAUUUCCAUUUACGCAGCGCCCUAAGAACCUGUUGAUAGAGGAGAUAGUAAUUAUCAGUCCAUUAACUUACCAGCGGAUGUUUUGUUAUAGCCGAUAAGUGCAAAUCCAGGUCCUCCAACACUCGGAAUUUAUUUCUUCCUCCCCCUGUCUUCCAAAAGGCAGAACCAAAAUGUAACGUUUUUAUCAUUAAAUC